rnacentral:rRNA from 1 species
ACGAAGGGGGCUAGCGUUGCUCGGAAUCACUGGGCGUAAAGGGCGCGUAGGCGGCCUUGUAAGUUGGGGGUGAAAGCCCGUGGCUCAACCACGGAAUUGCCUUCGAUACUGCUUGGCUUGAGUGUGGUAGAGGUUGGUGGAACUGCGAGUGUAGAGGGGAAAGGCGUAGAUAUGAGCAAGAACACCGGUGGCGAAGGCGGCCAACGGGAAAAGCACUGACGAUGAGGCGCGAAAGCGGGGGGAGAAAAAAG